rnacentral:tRNA from 1 species
GGGACUAUAGUUAAUAAUAACAUUUGAGUUGCAUUCAAAAGGUACUAAUCAAAUAGUUAGCCUCA